rnacentral:tRNA from 1 species
GGGAAAGUGGCUCAGUGGUAGAGCACUUGCCUUGCAUGCAUGAGGUCCUGGGUUCAAUUCCUCAGCACCA